GGGGCUGUAACUCAACUAGUAGAGUGCCUGUUUUGCAAGCAGGAUGUUGGAAGUGCAAAUCUUCUCAGCUCCACCA
rnacentral:tRNA from 1 species